rnacentral:rRNA from 1 species
UGGGGAAUUUUCCGCAAUGGGCGCAAGCCUGACGGAGCAAUACCGCGUGAGGGAGGAAGGCUUUUGGGUUGUAAACCUCUUUUAUUAAGGAAGAAGAAAGUGACUGUACUUAAAGAAUCAGCAUCGGCUAACUCCGUGCCAGCAGCCGCGGUAAUACGGAGGAUGCAAGCGUUAUCCGGAAUCAUUGGGCGUAAAGGGCACGUAGGCGGUCUUCUAAGUCCGAUGUUAAAGCGUGGGGCUCAACCCCAUCACGGCGUUGGAUACUGGUAGGCUUGACGACUGGAGAGGUGAGUAGAAUUACCAGUGUAGCGGUGGAAUGCGUAGAUACUGGUAGGAAUACCCAUUGCGAAGGCAGCUCACUGGACAGUACGUGACGCUGAGGUGCGAAAGUGUGGGGAGCAAACCGGAUUAGAUACCCCUGUAGUCC